GUGUGUGUGUGUGUGUGUGUGUGUGUGUGUGUUUGUUUUUAUUACAUGGUGGGGACCUCAGCAUGAUAGCACACUCACAAAGUGGGGACCAAAAACAUAGUGGGGACCGAUCGCCCGGUCCCCACUAUGUUUUGCCUUUAAAAGACUCAGGGGGCGUUGCUGAUAUGCCUAGUGCAGUUUUUUCACUGAUCCCCACCUUGACCAUUUACCUGAAUUGAGUGUGUAAGUGUGUGUCGGCGCACUGCUCUAUAGCGGUCCUGUAGUCGGAUGGCGGUACUGCACCCUGACACACACGACGCAAUUCACACACUCUGUCUACUGCACAUGCGCAAUCUCAUAAAUGAAUCCGACUUUAAUCAACUUAAUUAAGAUCUAUCAUCAAAUUAUUCGAAUUUUUGGUCAGAGGCCGGGGUGGAGUGCAUGAGCCGCGGUCAGACAGUCACCAAUCACCGGGCGGCUAAAUGGAUCGACGGAGGAUAAAACCAUUAAAAGAUGCGGAGAAACACAUCACCAGCUCCACUGACAAGACCCAUUCACUGGAAACCGAAUAUAUAGAAGGUUACUAAGUUUUGCAGCAUUGAUGCCGAUCAUGAGGACGAUCUGCACCCUAACUGCACUGUCAAUAAGAUCGUUGUUCAGAGAAAACCUCAUUUGUGCCUUUUUGCAAUCAGGGAUAUUUUCUUUGGAGAGGAAAUAACGUUUGACUAUGGCGCAUGUGAUUGGCCUUGGAGAAAGCUUUCAUUGAAGGAUGCCCAUAUGACUGCAGAAGACAACUCUCUGAUGAGCUUUCAUUGAAGUAUGAUCAUAUGACGAGAAGAAGAGAACUGCUCUGCUCCAGUAGGAGACCCACAACCCUCUGAUGAGGUUUGCUGAAGUAUGACCGUAUGACAGAAGGAGAGAACAGCUCUGCUCCAGUACGAGACCCACAACCCUCUGAUGAGCUUUUAUUGAAGGAUGG